rnacentral:lncRNA from 1 species
AUCUUCAUCCUCCUCUUCCUCGCUGUCAAAUUUCGAUUUUUUUGUUUUUUCCUCCUGGAUCUUCCUCCUCGUCUUCUUCCUCCUCCUCUUCAUCCUCCUCUUCCUCGCUCUCAAAUUUCGAUUUUUUGUCCAUUUUUCUGGUCAUUUUUGGCCUUUUUUCCUCAAUUUUUCCCAAUUUUUUCCUGGUUUUCCCUCUUGGAUCUUCCUCUUCCUCCUCUUCAUCCUCAUCUUCCUCCUCCUCUUCCUCUUCGCCUUCCUCCUCCUCACUCUCAAAUUUCGCCUUUUCGGCCCCGUUUUUUGCCAUUUUUUGCCCGAUUUUCCCCGUUUUCCCCCCAUUUUCCCGCUCUGCCUCUUCCUCUUCCCCUCCCUCCUUUUCCUCCCCCUCCAUUUCCCUCAUUUCCCCCCCAUUUUCCCCCGUUUUUCCCCCAUUUUCCUCCUCUUCCUCACGCCCGUUUUUCCCGCCUUUUUCCUCGUUCUUCCCGCCAAUUCCGCCAUUUUCCCGCCCUUCCCCCCGGCCGCCAGGGGGCGCCACCCCCGAGCCGCGCUCCCCGCUGGCCACGCCCCCUUCCAGCUCCGCGCAUGCGCGCUCGGCCUCGCCGCCACCCGGCGCCCUGCGGAGAAGAAAGGGCGUGGUCAGAGAGGGCGUGGCCGCCUCGGGGGCGUGGCCAAACACAGGGCGUGGCCCUCCCGGGGUGGCGGGGGGUUCUCCGGUGCUUCCCCUCCCCCCUCCCGGUACCGUUCGCAGCCGCUCGGCGCCGCCGCUGCCGCCAUUUCUGCGUCCUCAGGGCGGCGACCAAUGAGGAUGGGGAUCAACGGCAGCGGGGCGGGGCUUAAGGCACCGCAACCAAUGAGGCGACAGCGCUAGAAACAAGGUAGUGGCGUCAACCAAUAGAAGCGAGGGAAAGGCGGGAUGGGGUUGAGCGGCAGCUGCUGCAGCCAAUCAAAAAUGAGGCUGGGUGGUGCUGACAGUGCGGGAGUGAGUGGCGGCCGCUUCAACCAAUCAGAAGGCGGCUUGGAGCCGCAACAACCAAUAAGAAGCAGCGGGAGAUGGGACUAAACCGCUGAACCAAUAGCAGCGAAGAAGACGCUGGAAACGGUUGGGGAUUGAUUGCCAGCAGCACUACCCAAUGAAAUUGCAGCAUUCAGGGGGGUCAACCAAUCAGCGCCAGCAGGAGGCGGGAUUUACCCGCGCGCGUGGAGAAGAACCCGGAAGAGGCAGGCGGGGUUGCCUCAGCGGCGACCAAUCAGGAGGCGGCGCGGGAAGGGGAGAGCCAAUGAGGAGCGAGGGGAAGGGCGGGGCUUGUCCGCCAUGAACGGGGCGAGCGAGGGCGAUGGCGGCGGCUACAAACGGCGCUGCCGGGCCCUGAAGCGGCGC